rnacentral:rRNA from 1 species
CCCUUAGAUGUUCUGGGCCGCACGCGCGCUACACUGACGAUGGCAACGAGUUUUUCCUUCGCCGAAAGGUGUGGGUAAUCUUUUGAAACAUCGUCGUGCUGGGGAUAGAUCAUUGCAAUUUUUGAUCUUGAACGAGGAAUUCCUAGUAAGCGCGAGUCAUCAGCUCGCGUUGAUUACGUCCCUGCCCUUUGUACACACCGCCCGUCGCUACUACCGAUUGAAUGUUUUAGUGAGGCAUUUGGACCGACGCAUCUCAGUUUAACCGCUGGUUUGUGUUGGAAAGACUUCCAAACUUGAGCGUUUAGAGGAAGUAAAAGUCGUAACA